UUCGACAUCGAUUUUAAACAAUAAAUAUGCUAAAAAUCUUCGCAGGAUACAGGGAAGUUACGAUUUCAAAUAGGACGUUAGAAAAUCCAUGUUUGCAGAUAGAGAAUAGAAACACGUUAAAGUCCUUCAAGAAUGUUAUCUUGGGGGAAAAAAAGUGUGAAACAAAUAAGCAGAGAAAAUUUUGACUCACGUGACAGUGAUUGAUAGAGGCGCAGUUGUAAUCUUUGGAGUCUCAUUUGGAGUUUCAUAUCGCAGUUUUAAUUUUGGAAUUGGCAAACACAGAGAGGCACUUUCCCACAAGUAUGUGACGUUUUCAACGAUUUUUCGGGAUUCUCACGUCGGUCAUCACCGUUUGAGUGUCGUUCGUCGUCUAGCUCCGCAAAACAAUCAUCGAACACGGUGCUUAUUUAUACUCCCACGCAGGAAGUUACAAAUGGAGGCUUUCUGGGAGAUUCUUUUGUCCUGUCCUGACUAAAAGUUUCAAGAUGGAGAAGAUCCUUGGCUUAGGAGAAGAAAUCAAGAUGGAAAGAAUACGGUAUAUGGAUUCGCUUAUUAAUUUAAUUUAACUGGCUGCUUACAUCUAUGCCCGGACCUAAACGGCCUCUUUAAUUUCUAAUUUGAUUUUAUAUCUUAAAGGACCUAAGUUAAAAUUGUAGUAUGGAGAAGAUCCUUGGCUUUGGAAAUAACGCAUGUCUACUAUAAAUUAGCUAACGCAUAACUGAUAAAUACAAGAUCAGCAGCAGUAUUUUAUUCGGAGGUGAAACCUUAUCACAACUUAAUCUGGAUUUUGCUCACAGGGUGCAACGACAGUAAAAAUGUACGACUUAUCGCUAGGAUAAAGGCGCGGUGAAUCUUCAUUCUUUGUCGAUUCUCAAAGGUUCCUUUUCCUCCUUUUACUUUUCGAUAUUUAACGUCAUGUCAAAUGGAAAUGGAAACGAGAUUCUCCUUUAUAGUAUAUUUCAUUAAUGCAUUAUAUUUUUAAGGGGUACAUUGCAACACCCCAUCAUGUCUCCAUUUCACCAUUUUCGUGGCAAUGACAUUCGCAUCGCGAGCCAUUUCCUAUUGCACUUUCUACCGGCUUUCUACUCGCUGGCCGGCAUAACUUUGUCGAUUCGCAAUUUAUUGUCACAUUGUUAGUUGCCAAAAUUUUAUGCUAUGUAACAGUUUGAAAGAGAUACAUGUCGUUCUCUAGUAUACAUUAGUGAACACAGUGCAUUGACUAAACAUUAGCUAAACAUUGACCCAAUGU